UACGGAGGGUGCGAGCGUUGUCCGGAAUCACUGGGCGUAAAGGGCGCGUAGGCGGCUCAUGAAGGCUGUGGUGAAAGUCCGGGGCUCAACCUCGGAUCGGCCGUGGCGACUCGUGGGCUGGAGCACUGUAGAGGCGGGUGGAAUUUCGGGUGUAGCGGUGAAAUGCGCAGAUAUGAGGAGGAACACCGAUGGCGAAGGCAGCUCGCUGGGACGGUACUGACGCUGAGGCACGAAAGCGUGGGGAGCAAACAGG
rnacentral:rRNA from 1 species